CCCUGUUAGAAGUCAUAUAAUGGGCUGUGGUUGGAUAUUCCAACAGGACAAUGAUCCAAAACAAACAUCAAAAUCAACACAAAAAUGGGUCACUGAGCACAAAACCAAGCUUCUGCCAUGACCGUCCCAGUCCCAGUCCCCUGACCUGAACCCUACAGAAAAUGAGUGAACUGAACUGAAGAGAAGAAGCACCAACAUGGAGCUGGGAAUCUGAAGGAUCUGGAGAGAUUCUGCAUGAAGGAAUGGUCUCUGAUCUCUUGUCAGGUGUUCUCCACACUCAUCAGGCAUUAUAGGUGAAGACUCAGAGCUGUUAUCUUGGGAAAAGGAGGUUGCAAAAAGUAUUGAAUAAAAGGCAUCAUGCUGUGGGGGUGUUUUUCAGCUGCAGGGACAGGACGACUGGUUGCAAUCGAGGGAAAGAUAAAUGCGGCCAAGUACAGGGAUAUCCUGGACGAAAACCUUCGCCAGAAUGCUCAGGACCUCAGACUGGGCCAAAGGUUCCAACCUUCCAACAAGACAAUGACCCUAAGCACACAGCUAAAAUAACGAAGGAGUGGCUUCACAACAACUCCGUGACUGUUCUUGAAUGGCCCAGCCAGAGCCCUGACUUAAACCCAAUUGAGCAUCUCUGGAGAGACCUAAAAAUGGCUGUCCACCAACGUUUACCAUCCAACCUGACAGAACUGGAGAGGAUCUGCAAGGAGGAAUGGCAGAGGAUCCCCAAAUCCAGGUGUGAAAAACUUGUUGCAUCUUUCCCAAAAAGACUCAUGGCUGUAUUAGAUCAAAAGGGUGCUUCUACUAAAUACUGAGCAAAGGGUCUGAAUACUUAGGACCAUGUGAUAUUUCAGUUUUUCUUUUUUACUAAAUCUGCAAAAAUGUCAACAAUUCUGUUUUUCUGUCAAUAUGGGGUGCUGUGUGUACAUUAAUGAGGGAAAAAAAUGAAUGGGUCUGAAUACUUUCCGUACCCACUGUAUAUGUGUGUGUGCGUGUAUGUGUGUGUGUAUAUAUAUAUAUAAUAUAUAUAUAUAUAUAUAUAUAUAUAUAUGGUGCCUGGGGAGUGAUUGGGGGGUUAGGUAUGGGAAAAAGUGAAUCUUUAUUUUUAUUUUUUACUUUUCUUGAAUCAGUUACAACUGUAAAUCAAUCACUGAUCCACCUGUCACACUUAGUUUGGUCUUAACGCUGAAACAUUACCAUUAAUAAUUCCAGAUAUAAUACAAUACUGCCAAUUCAGCAAUAUAACAAACAGUGUCUUACUGACAUAGCAAUAAAGAGUCCACAUCAAGGUACAAA